rnacentral:rRNA from 1 species
AUUGAACGCUGGCGGCAGGCCUAACACAUGCAAGUCGAGCGGGGUUUUCGGACCUAGCGGCGGACGGGUGAGUAAUGCGUAGGAAGCUGCCCGAUAGAGGGGGAUACCAGUUGGAAACGACUGUUAAUACCGCAUAAUGUCUACGGACCAAAGUGUGGGACCUUCGGGCCACACGCCAUCGGAUGCGCCUACGUGGGAUUAGCUAGUUGGUGAGGUAAUGGCUCACCAAGGCGACGAUCUCUAGCUGGUUUGAGAGGAUGAUCAGCCACACUGGAACUGAGACACGGUCCAGACUCCUACGGGAGGCAGCAGUGGGGAAUAUUGGACAAUGGGCGCAAGCCUGAUCCAGCCAUGCCGCGUGUGUGAAGAAGGCCUUCGGGUUGUAAAGCACUUUCAGCGAGGAGGAAGGGAUGUAUGUUAAUAGCAUGCAUUUUUGACGUUACUCGCAGAAGAAGCACCGGCUAACUCUGUGCCAGCCGCCGCCGUAACAC